CCAUGGGUCACUGACUCAGAAAAUCAAGAAAUGGCAGACAAUGGGGGGACUACUGCAUACCUAAUGCAGGCUUCCAAGAACAAAUGCUAGCAACUGAAGUCUUCCUUGAAUUGAGCAAGGCAGACCAGAAGCUCCAAGGACAGCUCAAUGGCAAUACGAUACAUGGCCCCUUGGUCAUUGGUGACUUUGAAAAGGGCUGUUUCAAUAGAGCGGGAGAGAUGGAAACCAGACUGGAGUAUGAAUAGGAGAACUCUAGAAGAUCAAAAGCAGUACCAAUUUGAGAAG